rnacentral:lncRNA from 1 species
UUGUUAUUUAUGUUAAAAUCUAAUUUGUAAUUCUUAGAAUACUAAAAGUCUUUUUGGAAGUCUAAGAGUCAUUUUGGAAUUCUAAAGGUCAUUUGAUCUUGGAAUUCUAAGAGUCAAGAAGUCUAACAGUUAGUGAAGAAAUUAAUGAGGAAACUCAAGAGUCAUGUAAAAGUCUAUAAAUAGGAUGUCAUGCAAUGCCAAGUAACAAAGCCCCCAAGAGUUCUCUUGUACUUAGCCAAAUUAAUAAAAAGAUCUUCCAAUUCCUUUAAAAAUAGUUGUUAAAUCCUCCCUGCACCCAACAAAAUGGUAUCAAAGCCAAUUUCCCUCAAGUCCUUCAUCUCAAAUCUAGCACUUCAUGGCAACUAGUGCUGGAGCAAGCUCAAGCAAUGCAGCAGCAACAACAAGCAUCACCACCUUCAACUAUAUGCAAAAUCAAGUACCAAUUUUUGACGGAGAAAGUUACGAUUUUUGGAGCAUCCAGAUGAAAACUCUCUUUCUGUCACAAGACUUGUGGGAUUUGGUAGAAGGAGGCUAUGAAGAACCAGAAAAUCAAGAAGCACUUGCAACAUGGACUCAGGCAAAGCAAAAGGAGUAUAAAGAGAACAAGAAAAAGGAUGCAAAAGCUCUACUUUUCAUCCAGCAAGGGGUAAGUAAAACUAUAUUUCCUAGAAUUUUGGGUGCAACUAAGUCAAAAGAAGCUUGGGAAAUUUUAAAAAAAGAGUUCCAAGGCUCCGACAAAAUCAUCACCAUUAAGCUUCAAUUAUUAUGGAGAGAAUUUGAUAAUCUAGCCAUGAAAGAUAAUGAAAAUAUAAAAGAUUUUUGCUCUAGAGUUGCCGGAAUCAUAAAUCAAAUAAGAAGUUAUGGAGAUACAAUUGAAGAGAAAAAGAUAGUUGAGAAAAUUUUAAGAAGUUUACCGGCUAAAUUUGAUCAUAUUGUUGCUGCAAUCGAAGAAUCGAAAGAUUUAUCUAUAUUUACUUUGCAUGAACUGAUGGGUUCUCUUGAGGCACAUGCACAAAGAAUGAGCAGGUUUACAGAUCAAAAUAUAGAGCAAGCAUUUCAAUCCAAACUAACAAUCCAAGAGAGGAAAGCUGCAAGUAUGGAGCGAGAUGGCAAAGAUAGAAGACAGUUCCAAAGGAGAAAUCAAGAUAACUGGUCUCGUGGCAGAGGUAAAGGCCGAAAUGGACAACCAAUUCAAAGAAAUGGUAACUUCAAUUCCCAAUAUUUUAUUUGCAAAAAAUUUGGACAUGAAUCUAAAAGUUGUCGUUUUCGAUGCAAAAGAUGCAAGAUUCCAAAUCAUUCUGAAAGAGACUGUUGGUUUAAGGAUAAGAAAGAUAAAAAUGAAGCAAAUUUUUCUAAAGAAGAUAACGGUGAACAAUUAUUUUACUCUUGCAUGAAUGCUCAUCAAGAAUCACAAGAAACUUGGUAUUUGGAUAGUGGUUGCAGCAAUCAUAUGACAGGGAAUCGAGACUUCUUUGUUGAUCUACAUCAAGAUUCAUCUUCUCAAGUCAAGCUUGGUAAUGGCAAGCUACAACAGAUUGAGGGCAAAGGGGUCAUAGCUGUCUACACAAAAGGAGGUAUGAAAAGGUUAAUUCAUGAUGUUCUCUAUGUUCCAGGCUUAACUCAAAAUUUACUAAGUGUUGGACAGUUAUUGCAAAAUGGAUAUACAGUUAUAUUUGAAAAAGGUGAAUGCAAAAUUUUUGACAAAGACAAGAAGGCAUUAGUAGCAAAUAUUAAGAUGACCCCAAAUAAAGUUUUUCCUCUGAACAUGCCAACCAAGCAAAAUAUUGCAUUAAAAAGUGAAAAAGUUGAUGAAUCAUAUUUGUGGCACUUGAGAUAUGGCCACUUAAACCUUAAAGGACUUCAUCUAUUAAAAGAGAAGAACAUGGUUUUGGGUCUUCCGUCAAUAAAUAAAGUGGACAAAAUUUGUGAAGGAUGUGUUUACGGAAAGUUACAUCGCCUUCCAUUUCCUAAAACAUCUUGGAGAGCAAAGGCUCCGCUCGAACUAAUUCAUGCAGAUAUUUGUGGCCCUACAAGAACUCCUUCUUUUAAUCAAAAGAGAUAUUUUCUUCUCUUUGUAGAUGAUUACACUAGAAUGAUGUGGAUAUAUUUUCUUGAGCAAAAAUCAGAAGCUUUUUCUAUCUUUAUUCAAUUCAAAGCAUAUGUUGAAAAACAAAGCGGCCACCAAAUAAAGAUAUUAAGAACAGAUCGUGGAGGUGAAUUUACUUCUCAUUCAUUCAACAACUACUGCAAGGAGAAUGGAAUUAAAAGGCAACUUACUGUUCGACAUACACCACAGCAAAAUGGUGUAGCAGAACGCAAAAAUCGAACUAUAGUAGAAAUGGCUCGAAGCAUGAUGAAAGGAAAAGGACUACCAAAUCAAUUUUGGGCUGAAGCAGUCAAUACUACAGUUUUUAUUCUUAACAGAUCUCCUACAAAAGCUGUUCAAAACAAAACACCUUACGAGGCUUGGCAUGGACAAAAACCUCAGGUAAAAAAUCUAAAAAUCUUUGGGUGUAUUGCUUAUGCUCUCAUUCCAUCACAAUAUAGAGAAAAAUUUGAUGAAAAAGGUGAAAAAUAUAUUUUCAUUGGAUAUAGUGAAGAAUCUAAAGCUUAUCGUCUUCUUAAUCCAAAAAACAAUCAACUUGUUGUUUCUCGAGAUGUACUCUUUGAUGAGUUAGCAGCAUGGAAUUGGAAUGAAAGCGCUACACAACAAACAAGAACAAUUGAGUUUAUGGAGCCAAGCAAUAAUCAAGAAGAUCUACAACAACAGGAAAGUCCAAGUGCAUCAAGAGAAGGCAGAUCAAUUCAAGUGACCUCUGAUACAGAGUCGCCUCCCAGAAAGGUACGCUCCCUAAGUGAAAUAUAUGCAUCUUGUGAUGUUGCCUUUUUUGCUUGUGAGCCGCAGAAUUUUCAAGAAGCAAGCAAAGAUGAUAUAUGGCUUAAGGCUAUGGAUGAAGAAAUGGCAUCCAUUGAAAAGAAUCACACUUGGGAGCUUGUUGACCUUCCAAACGGAAAAGAUGUCAUAAAGCUCAAAUGGAUUUACAAGACCAAAUAUAAAGAAGAUGGCUCCAUCGAUAAGCACAAAGCUCGGUUAGUUGCAAAAGGAUAUAGCCAACAACCAGGUAAGGAUUUCACUGAAACUUUUGCACCUGUUGUACGCAUGGAGACUGUUAGAACUGUUCUUGCUCUAGCAAGCCAACUAGAAUUGCCAGUUUAUCAACUCGAUGUUAAGUCGGCAUUUUUAAAUGGAGAAAUUGAAGAAGAAGUUUACGUUGAACAACCUGAAGGGUAUAUUAUAGAAGGAAAAGAAAAUCAAGUCUAUCGACUGCGAAAAGCCUUAUAUGGCUUAAAGCAAGCACCACGUGCUUGGAAUAGCAAGAUUGAUAAAUAUUUUCGCCAAAAUGGUUUUGUGCGGAACCCAAGUGAGCCAUCACUUUAUGCAAAAUGGCUAAAAGACACACAAGAUUUUUUGAUCAUUUGUCUUUAUGUUGAUGAUCUUAUCUACAUGGGCACUAAUCCUAUCAUGGUUGAAGAAUUUAAAAAAGCAAUGAUGAAAGAAUAUGAAAUGACUGAUCUUGGUCUCAUGCGAUAUUUUCUUGGCAUUCAAGUUAAACAAUCAAAAGGAGAAAUUUUGUUGACACAAGAAAAAUAUAUUGAAGACUUGUUAUCAAAAUUUCAUAUGUCAAAUUGCAAGCCUGUCGAAACUCCUAUAUCCAAGAAUGAGAAAUUCCAAUUGCAUGAUGGUGCUCAGAAGGUUGAUGCUACAAUCUAUAGAAGUUUAGUUGGCUCUCUUAUUUAUCUAACAAAUACAAGACCAGAUAUUGCUUUUUCUGUUAGUUUGUUAUCCAGGUUUAUGAGCCAGCCAAGUAAGAUUCAUUUUGCAGCUGCCAAGAGAAUUCUUCGCUAUCUACAAGGCACAAAAAAUUUCUGUCUCAAGUACAAAAAGGAGAAUGACAACAAGCUUGUUGGGUACACUGACAGUGAUUGGGCAGGCUCUCUCGACGACCGAAAAAGCACUUCAGGUUAUAUUUUCUGCUUGGGAACAAAAGUGAUUUCUUGGUCCUCUAGGAAGCAGAAGGUCGUGGCAUUAUCUACAGCAGAGGCCGAGUAUAUUUCCGCAACCGAUGCAGCAUGUGAAGCUAUGUGGCUCAAGAAAGUUCUUUCUGAUCUACACCAGCAAGAAAAAAUACCAACCAUCAUUCGAUGUGAUAAUAUGUCGGCAAUCGCAAUGAUGAAGAAUCCUGUCUUCCACAACAGAUCGAAGCAUAUUGACAUACGUCAUCACUUCAUUCGAGACUUGGUUGAGCAAGGCGAUAUUCAACUUGAGUAUGUCAACACCAAUGAACAACUAGCAGACGUCUUCACCAAAGCAGUAACAAUUGAAAAAUUCAAGCAUGCAAGAGAUAUUAUGGGAAUUACAAAUUAAGGGGGGAUGUUAAAAUCUAAUUUGUAAUUCUUAACUAAAAGUCUUUUUGGAAGUCUAAGAGUCAUUUUGGAAUUCUAAAGGUCAUUUGAUCUUGGAAUUCUAAGAGUCAAGAAGUCUAAGAGUUAGUGAAGAAAUUAAUGAGGAAACUCAAGAGUCAUGUAAAAGUCUAUAAAUAGGAUGUCAUGCAAUGCCAUGUAACUAAGCCCCCAAGAGUUCUCUUGUACUUAGCCAAAUUAAUAAAAAGAUCUUCCAAUUCCUUUAAAAAUAGUUGUUAAAUCCUCCCUGCACCC